rnacentral:lncRNA from 1 species
GGAGCUGAAGCUGAGCGGGGCCACGUUCGUGCCUUCGGUGGGACACCUGGCGGACAAGAGCCGCUCCUUCCAGGUGGCGGCCGAGAGCUGCGGGCUGGAGCGCGCCGAGGGCAAGGAGCGGCACGGCGAGGUGGGCGCCGAGCCCCCGGCCGCCUACGGCACCUCCUUCCACCACCACGCCAAGGCGGAGGGCAAGGCGGAGCGGCGGCUCGAGUGGGGCGGCCCCGGCGCCCGGCUGAAGGGGCUGGAGUACCUGGGGGGCGGCGGGGCGGCCGAGGGGCCCCCCUUCGCCGGCCUCGGCCCCCCGCCCAAGGGCGGCCUGGAGAAGGGCUAUUUCGAGGUGCCGCCGGCCCCGGACUGCUCCCGCGCCCCGCACGCCGACCCGCUGGGCGCCAAGGUGGGCCCGUCCUGCUGCACUUUAGAGAAGGGCCCCAAGGAGCCCCCCGGGCAGACCCCGCAGAAGGUGGCGCGGAUCCGGCACCAGCAGCACGGCGGCCCCGAGGCGGAGCCGGCCGGCGGCGGCCCCGAGGGCAAGCGGAAGGCCCUGGAGCUGAACUCCCUGGGCUACAACGGGCCCCCCCUGCCCCCCUGGGGCGUGCAGGGCCAGGCCCCCCCCAUGGCCAUGGCGGAGGAGAGGAAGGGCUCCUACCUGGACCCCUUCAGCACGAGUCUGCAGCAGGCUGCGUUGAUGACUCAGGGCUCGGUGCUGAGCCAGGACAUGCCGACCCCCCCGGACGAGGUCUCGGCCAUGAAGAACCUUCUCAAGUACAGCAACCAAGCACUUAUCGUGGGCCAGAAGGCUCCCUUCGUGGGGCUGGGCGGCAUCAAGGGCAGCUGCGCCCACCAGGACGCCAAAUUCCCCCCGGGCAAGGGGCAGCCGGAGCUGGAGCGGCCGGAUUGCGCCCGCAGCCGGGAGCACGAGCUGGGCCACGGCGAGGGCGAGGUGCGGCAGCCCCCCGUGGGCAUCGCCGUGGCCGUGGCGCGGCAGAAGGACACGCUCAGCCGCCCCGAG